ACAAACCGUGAGAUCAUGACCUGAGCAGUUGAAUGGUUAACCAACUGAGCCACCCAGGCAUCCCUAUAUUAGCUCUUUUAACCCUAACAAUAACCCAAAGUAUGUACUUUUAUUAUCACUAAUCUACAGAUGAAGAAACGGAGCACAGAGAGGUUAAGCAGCUUGGUCGAAUAUCACAGCAAGCAAGCGCUAAUGCCAGGGCGUGAAUUCCUGCAGCCUGUCCCCGCAGCCCAGUCUCUCAGAAAAAAGAUGGCCUACCUCAAGGGGUGACUGCACGGGCCAAGUCCGAACACCCAGCGGCCUCGCGCUUGCCUGGAGCUAGACUCCGCCAGUCUACCAGCCCUCAAGUGGGCCCCACGGAUGUGCCAGAGCCGUCCCUGAGUCAGUGGGGCUUGAGAAGUCUCCCACGAUUGGGAUCUCCUGCCUCCUGGGCUAAGAGAAAAGGACAGCAGUGCGAGAGGAAGGAGGAAAGACUGAGCUCUCUCGGGCGUGGCUGAUGACAUUCCGGUUAGAGGGCAAGGCAUGCUCCCAGCAGAAGGCUCUGCUCUCCCGCAGAAUCCAGAAGUCCCGAAGCUGUCCUCCUUUUCGUCCGGUCUCCGGGCCCCUUGGUCUCAGCUGGCAUUU